UGCGUAGGCGGAUAAAUAAGUCAGUGGUGAAAUCUUUCGGCUCAACCGGAAAACUGCCAUUGAUACUGUUUAUCUUGAGUUCGGUAGAGGUAGGCGGAAUGUGUAAUGUAGCGGUGAAAUGCUUAGAUAUUACACAGAACACCAAUUGCGUAGGCAGCUUACUAUGCCGACACUGACGCUGAGGCACGAAAGCGUGGGGAGCGAACAGGAUUAGAUACCCUGGUAGUCC
rnacentral:rRNA from 1 species